ensembl:snRNA U6 U6 spliceosomal RNA
GUGAUCGCUUCAGCAGCACAUAUACUAAAAUUGCAACGGUACAGGGAAGAUUAGCGUGGGCCCUACACAAGGACGACAUGGAAAUUCGUGAAGCAUUCCAUACAGAA